CAAAGUCCCAAAGGAGCACAUGUCAGCGGUGUCAUUACAUCCUCCAGUUUGAUCCCUGUUUUAAGGACAUUCAUUAAUCUCUCCCAUUCUAUUUUUAGACAGCUCAUGCCUAGCCAUCAGCCAGACGCUGGCCCCUCUCCGAGACUGGACUUUGUUUUCCAAUUUUUUUUUUUAACCACUUUUGUUGUUGUUGUUGUUGUUGUUAAUGAUCACUGAAGCAAUUUCUUCAUGCUCCUUUCAGAAAGGGGAAAUAGACAGAGGCCACUCCGCGUCCUAUCAACAGCUUGCAAACUACGGAAAAUCAGGGCUUUCUCUUUUGCUAAGUUAAGACAAAAUGAGGUAUCCCGCCAACAGCGUGGUCAUCCGUUUCUGUUUUGGGGUUUUCACCCUCUUUUGCGAUUGUGUCUUCAAGAGCCAGCCUCCCCCUGUCAGCCUGGGAAAGAACGGGGCCUUACUCCCUCACUGUCGUCAUGAUUUCUGUAUCUGUGUUCCCAGAAGCCAACAUGGUGCCGGGAAAGUGAGGGUCUCCAGCACCCGGCCAGGCCGCGAAAAACAGACCACGUGGAGAGGACCACGUGAAGAAGAGCCAAGCACUAGCUGAGCAACCGAGUGAUGGAUGCGCCCACGGCCAGCCAUGAGUGUGCCAUCUUGAAAGCAGAUCCCCCAGGCUGCUAAAACCAGGCCAGACAACACCACAUGGACCAGCAGUGAGACUUCCUCACCGAGCCCCAUUUGAACUGCAGAAUCAGGAACAAGAAGUGAUUGUUGUUCGAAGUCCCUACCUUUUGGGGUGGUUGGUGAGGCCGCAGGAGAUGGCUGGAACAAUGACGCGCUGCCUUCGAUUUACGAAAGAUACCCCUCUAUCCUUAGAGCGAAGCCUCCACCCUGGCUUACGCUGGUUCACGUGGAUUUCUUUGACUUGCAACUAAAGAAUGAAAACUAUUGAAGGCCUCUUUUCCCAUUUUAGACAGGAGUGGGGGGGAAGGAAAAUAAACUCAGGCUGUCUUUCUGAUCUGCA
rnacentral:lncRNA from 1 species